rnacentral:rRNA from 1 species
UUGGAGGGCAAGUCUGGUGCCAGCAGCCGCGGUAAUUCCAGCUCCAAUAGCGUAUAUUAAAGUUGUUGCAGUUAAAAAGCUCGUAGUUGAAUUUCGAGACUGGUUUAUUGGUCGUGCUUUUGUACGUACUGGUAUUAUUGGUUUCUCCUUUCUGACGAAUCAUAAUGCCAUUAAUUUGGUGUUUUGGGGAAUCAGGACUGUUACUUUGAAAAAAUUAGAGUGUUUAAAGCAGGCUCACGCUUGAAUACAUUAGCAUGGAAUAACGGAAUAGGACGUUUGAUUCUAUUUUGUUGGUUUCUAGGAUCGACGUAAUGAUUAAUAGGGAUAGUUGGGGGCAUUAGUAUUCAAUUGUCAGAGGUGAAAUUCUUGGAUUUAUUGAAGACUAACUACUGCGAAAGCAUUUGCCAAGGAUGUUUUCAUUAAUCAAGAACGAAAGUUAGGGGAUCGAAGACGAUCAGAUACCGUCGUAGUCUUAACCAUAAACUAUGCCGGCUAGGGAUCGGAUGAUGUUAAUUUUUUAAUGACUCAUUCGGCGCCUUACGGGAAAC